AUUCUUGGUCAUUUAGAGGAAGUAAAAGUCGUAACAAGGUUUCCGUAGGUGAACCUGCGGAAGGAUCAUUAUUGAAUGAACUUGGUGUGGUUGUCGCUGGCCCCCCCAGGGCAUGUGCACACCCACCAUCCUCAUCUCUCCACCUGUGCACCUCUUGUAGACUUUUUGUCUAUGUUUUUCAUAUACCCCAUAGCAUGUAACAGAAUGUAUUAUUUGGGCCCUUGUGCCUAUAAACCUUAUACAACUUUCAGCAACGGAUCUCUUGGCUCUCGCAUCGAUGAAGAACGCAGCGAAAUGCGAUAAGUAAUGUGAAUUGCAGAAUUCAGUGAAUCAUCGAAUCUUUGAACGCACCUUGCGCUCCUUGGUAUUCCGAGGAGCAUGCCUGUUUGAGUGUCAUUAAAUUUCUCAACCAUAGGUUGGAUGUGGGGUUGCUGCUGGCUUAGGUCAGCUCCCCUUAAAUGCAUUAGCUGUGGACACUGUCGUCUAUUGGUGUGAUAAUUAUCUACGCCGUUGGAUGGAUGGAACCACUGUCAAGAGACAAUACAUGACAAUUUGACCUCAAAUCAGGUAGGACUACCCGCUGAACUUAAGCAUAUCAAUAAGCGGAGGAAAUC
rnacentral:rRNA from 1 species